rnacentral:ncRNA from 1 species
CAACCUCUGACAAGAGCUGUGAAUGUUG